ensembl:lncRNA
GUAAGUGAAGUCUUUCAAUCGGCUCGACCACCGAAGGCGAGCAGCGACAUCUGCGUUUCGGUCGUAUAGGCAGCACCGGUUCUCGGUGACUCCAUCCCCCACAGCUCCACCAACCAGCGCCAGAGCUGAAGUUGAACAUGUCAGAUUUCCUGCACUGUGUUAUUUGUCUUGUUGUUAUUUUCCUUGGAUGUCUAACAUACUGUCUUUCCUCUAUAAAUGUUCCUGAAUCCUGAUUCCAGAGCUGAUUUUAACUGCCUGGCUUCUUCUGCACGCUCACAUUUGCUUUGCAGCAUCGACCAGAAAGAAGGUAAAGUUUCACAUAAUGGCAGCAAUGUUUGAUCAAAGCUCAUGUGACGCACUCCAUUCUGUCAGCGCUGAUAAUCAUCUCAGGGGAAACUGUGUGGAAUUGAAUUCAGGUUUCACAAUAAUAAUGAUGCUUUCCUUAUCAGUGUAAAUGUGCAAAACAGACAAACUGGACCAACGGGUUUGACGGAUGCUUCGCGUUUUCACGCCAACCCUUAAAAUUGUAGCUUUUAAGGGUUGACAGUGAGAAGGAGGCGGAGCCUCUGCACCGCACUAACUGCUCCAGAGAGGGUGACUACAUAAGGCCGGGGGCAGUAAGUUCGCCUCCAUUGUCUUCAUCUGCUCCCACCAGGCUCCCCGUGUCUUCGGCCAUGGCCUCCGAUAGCCCCUCCUCCCAAGCAGCUUCCACCUACCUGACCGCGCACACCAACGAGAUGGUGGAGCUGCAGCACCUGAACGGCCGCUUAACCAGCUACAUCGAGAGGUUGCACUUCCUGGAGCAGCAGAACCAGACGCUGGCGGCGGAGGUGAAGCGGCUGCGAGGCCGUAAGCUCACGCGCUUUGAAAGGCUCAUGGAGCAGACUCCCCAGAAGGAGGACGUGGAGAGCAACCUGGCUGCUUCCGGGGGGGUGACGCCUGUGUAGCGUGUCUCCACCCACAGCUUCUCCACAACGCAGAAGAAGCUCCUCCUGACGUUUCUCCUCAACAUUGUUAAGGAACAACAAGGCAGCUCGCUGAGGUAGAGUGAAGAAAAGAGGAUGUCUUCAGAGAUACAGAACAGCGGAGCGAAGUGAAUGACCAGCGAGAGAAGAGGCCUAAGGGGCACGUGUGAGGGAGUAACGCUGUACAUCAGUAACAACGUUGUAUCUUUACCGUGAAGGACAUGAGUGAGUCUCUGUACCUGCAACAUCUGCUCCACCGUCAGCUUCAUCAACGGGUCGACAUCAUGUGAGGAGGAGCAGAGAGAAGAAGAGACGACGAGGGACAAGAACAUAGAGACUCUUCUGGGUUAAAGCGUGAGCAGCAGAGUGAUGCUGUUAUUCACUCUAUUGGGAUGUAUUUAUCUGUGGUUUAAUGUAUAUAUAUUAUAUUAUAUUUCCGAGAAUAACUGAGACGGACUUGAUUUGUUUUUUGUAUCAAUUCACAAUAAAAUGAACAUAAUUGCAUCAGAGAGGCUGCUGACAAAUAAAAGAAUUUUCCAAUGGCCUAAAAAAUAAAACACUGCAUGAACUUCCUGAUUUCUGUCUAUUUAAGUUAAAUGGAAUGAGGAAACAUUUAUUGUCAUAAUUUGUCAGACAUACAAGGAAUGUGACUUGGCGGUUGGUGCGUAACAGCAGAC